rnacentral:rRNA from 1 species
GACGGAGGGUGCUAGCGUUGUUCGGAAUUACUGGGCGUAAAGGGCGCGUAGGCGGCCCUGUCAGUCGGGUGUGAAAGCCCGGGGCUCAACCCCGGAACGGCACCCGAGACGGCGGGGCUGGAGACCGGGAGAGGAGGGUGGAAUAGCCAGUGUAGAGGUGAAAUUCGUAGAUAUUGGCUGGAACACCGGUGGCGAAAGCAGCUCUCUGGCCCGGUUCUGACGCUGAGACGCGAAAGCGUGGGGAGCGAACAGG